rnacentral:misc_RNA from 1 species
CCAAGUAUCAUGGCCGUGAACGGAGGAGCCCAUCAAGACUACAAUCGUUUGGAUGAGGUGAAACAAUUCGAUGAUUCUAAAAUCGGAGUUAAGGGCUUGGUCUCCGGCCUCACCUCCCUCCCCCGCAUGUUUAUCCAUCCAAAGGGAGCACUUUCCGAUCUCAAAUCCGUUGCAAGAACCGAAUCCAAAGUCAUUCCCACCAUUGACCUUUCAGGCGUUGAUUCCGACAGGAGGCCGGCAAUUGUGGAGCAGGUUUCAAAUGCAUGUCGGAAACUUGGGUUUUUUCAGAUCAUGAAUCAUGGGUUGCCGUUGGACGUUAUGAACCGGACGAUUGCUGCAGUUAAGGGGUUUCAUGAGCUGCCGACGGAGGUCAAGA